rnacentral:rRNA from 1 species
UACAGAGGGGGCGAGCGUUGUUCGGAAUUACUGGGCGUAAAGGGCGCGUAGGCGGCCCGCUAAGUCGAACGUGAAAUCCCCAGGCUCAACCUGGGAACUGCGUCUGAUACUGGGAGGCUAGAGUAUGGGAGAGGGAUGUAGAAUUCCAGGUGUAGCGGUGAAAUGCGUAGAUAUCUGGAGGAAUACCGGUGGCGAAGGCGGCAUCCUGGACCAUUACUGACGCUGAGGCGCGAAAGCUAGGGGAGCAAACGGG